rnacentral:rRNA from 1 species
GCCUACGGCCAUACCACCCUGAAAGCGCCCGAUCUCGUCUGAUCUCGGAAGCUAAGCAGGGACGGGCUUGGUUAGUACCUGGAUGGGAGACCG